rnacentral:rRNA from 1 species
CCUACGGGUGGCAGCAGUGAGGAAUAUUGGUCAAUGGACGAGAGUCUGAACCAGCCAAGUAGCGUGAAGGAUGACUGCCCUAUGGGUGGUAAACUGCUUUUAUAUGGGAAUAAAAUGUUCCACGUGUGGGAUUUUGUAUGUACCAUAUGAAUAAGCAUCGGAUAACUACGUGCCAGCAGCCGCGGUAAUACAGUGGAUCCGAGCGUUAUCCGGAGUUUUUGGGUUUAAAGGGAUAGUAGGUGGAUUGUUAAGUCAGUUGUGAAAGUUUGCGGCUCAACCGUAAAAUUGCAGUUGAAACUGGCAGUCUUGAGUACAGUCGAGGUGGGCGGAAUUCGUGGUGUAGCGGUGAAAUGCUUAGAUAUCACGAAGAACUCCGAUUGCGAAGGCAGCUCACUGGACUGCAACUGACACUGAGGCUCGAAAGUGUGGGUAUCAAACAGGAUUAGAUACCCCGGUAGUA